AGUGGCGAACGGGUGAGUAAUGCAUCGGAACGUACCCAGUAGUGGGGGACAACCUCGAGAAAUCGAGGCUAAUACCGCAUACGCUACGGGAAAGCGGCGCUAUUGGAGCGGCCGAUGCCGGAUUAGCUAGUUGGUGGGGUAAAGGCCUACCAAGGCGACGAUCCGUAGCUGGUCUGAGAGGAUGAUCAGCCACACUGGGACUGAGACACGGCCCAGACUCCUACGGGAGGCAGCAGUGGGGAAUUUUGGACAAUGGGCGCAAGCCUGAUCCAGCCAUGCCGCGUGCGGGAAGAAGGCCUUCGGGUUGUAAACCGCUUUCGGCCGGAACGAAUGACGGUACCGGAAGAAGAAGCACCGGCUAACUACGUGCCAGCAGCCGCG
rnacentral:rRNA from 1 species